GAUGAACGCUGGCGGCGUGCCUAAUACAUGCAAGUCGAGCGAACACACGACUACCUUUCUCCUCUAGCGGUAGCCGCGGACGUAUGAGUAACACAUGUGUAAGCUACCUAGGGGACUCGAGGAACUUCGUGAACCCGUACCUAAUACCGUAUAAGAUAGUGAGCCGCAUGGUUCAAUAGUUAAAGACGGUUUUGCUGUCGCUUAUAGAUUAGGCGGCGCCGGAUUAGCUAGUUGGUAAGGUAACGGCUUACCAAGGCGACGAUGCGUAGCCGACCUGAGAGGGUGAUCGGCCACACUGGAACUGAGACACGGUCCAGACUCCUACGGGAGGCAGCAGUAGGGAAUUUUCGGCAAUGGGCGAAAGCCUGACGGAGCCACGCCGCGUGAGUGAUGAAGGUCUUCGGAUUGUAAACCUCUGUUAUUCGGGAAGAAAAACUGUGUACGUAAAUAUGGAGGUCUUGACGGUACCUAAUGAGAAAGCACCGGCUAACUACGUG
rnacentral:rRNA from 1 species